AAUUCGAUCAUUCGGUAUUAUGAGCGGACAAGAAGGAGAUUCUACUGAGCUUAACUUCGGCCCUGGGCACAAUUUCAACACUUAGGUUUUGUCGGUUCCAGACCACUUUUUUUGUCAGAAGUCAAAAUCUUACUAGAAAAAGAGGACUUGCAUAGAGACUCAGAUGUCUAUCAAAGGACAUUAGAAUACGCUCGAAAAUUCAGUCAAUUUGAUGAUGUGGCCUCCGCGAUUGGAGUCAGAAAGCUGCUUUCAGCUUACGAUCUGCAUGAGUUUGAACUAGCUCAAAUAGCAACACUCCUCCCUGGUAAGACCGAAGAGGCAGAAGCACUCAUACCAUCAAUUACCAACAAGCUCAGCGCCAAUCAGCUCAAUCAGCUCCUUUCUCAGUGCCGUGACCUCUCUAGAAGUGUUGAACAUCAAGACUUUGGGUAUCAAUGAGCCAGGUGGCGUACAAUACCGACCCGAUAAACACAUUUUUGGACCAAUCCACCUGAGAAGAACCGUGUUCAGAACGCACGCAUAUUCGCGAACUUUGAGUAUCCAGAGACCUUCUUACAUAUGUUGUAGCGUCGUGCGCAAAUGUAUGCGAAAUUCCUCAACGGCGAUGUACCUUUUCUCUCGGCACCACAGCAGAGAUCCAAAUGCAUAGGGCUUCUUUUUUGUGGUGAGCAUAAAGGUGGGGCGUGCCAAGGCUUCGAUUCUGGGCUAGUUCUAAUCCAAUUCUUCACUUUACAUUGUCACAAUGCUCCCUAUGCUAUUCAAAAAAUUCGCUUCUGUCUCAUGAGGUUCAGCGAAUUCUAGUAGAAGCAAUGAACAUAACGAGCAAACCGCAUUCAA